rnacentral:rRNA from 1 species
GGGAAUAUUGCACAAUGGGCGCAAGCCUGAUGCAGCCAUGCCGCGUGUAUGAAGAAGGCCUUCGGGUUGUAAAGUACUUUCAGCGGGGAGGAAGGGAGUAAAGUUAAUACCUUUGCUCAUUGACGUUACCCGCAGAAGAAGCACCGGCUAACUCCGUGCCAGCAGCCGCGGUAAUACGUAGGUGGCAAGCGUUAUCCGGAUUUACUGGGUGUAAAGGGCGUGUAGGCGGGGAAGCAAGUCAGAUGUGAAAACCACGGGCUCAACCUGUGGCCUGCAUUUGAUACUGGCAAGCUUGAGUCUCGUAGAGGGGGGUAGAAUUCCAGGUGUAGCGGUGAAAUGCGUAGAGAUCUGGAGGAAUACCGGUGGCGAAGGCGGCCCCCUGGACGAAGACUGACGCUCAGGUGCGAAAGCGUGGGGAGCAAACAGG